rnacentral:rRNA from 1 species
AAUGAACGCUGGCGGCGUGCUUAACACAUGCAAGUCGAACGAGAAAGCCCGGUUCGCCGGGCGAGUAAAGUGGCGCACGGGUGAGUAACGCGUGGGUAAUCUACCCUCGAAUCUGGGAUAACAUGCCGAAAGGUGUGCUAAUACCGGAUAAGACCACGAUCCCUUUGGGGAUUGAGGUCAAAGAUGGCCUCUGCUUGCAAGCUGUCGUUUGAGGAUGAGCCCGCGUCCCAUUAGCUUGUUGGUAGGGUAACGGCCUACCAAGGCAACGAUGGGUAGCUGGUCUGAGAGGAUGGCCAGCCACACUGGAACUGGUACACGGUCCAGACUCCUACGGGUGGCUG